rnacentral:tRNA from 1 species
GCGUUGAAUAGUGAGAGUACUGAUCUGAUACAAGAGCAGAGGACUCUUAAUCCGCGGGUUCGGGGUUCAAGUCCCUGACGGCGCA